UUUGUUCUAGCCUGCUCAAUUAUUACAGCUUAGAAUUAAUAUAUUUAACACAUUAAAUCAUUCGGAAAGCGAAAACGAGAGUGUGCGGUCGGAUCCACAUUCUUUUGUCAAUCACUACGCAAAUGUCAACGACUCGCUGCGUCAAUCCUGGAAGAAAACGAAGCCAGUGCGAAAUUAUUCAAGUUACACAGACUCCGAACCGGAGGGUAGUGCAGUGAUGAGUCUCAAUGGCGGUCAAAUCAUUGUCAAUAAUAUGGCCAGAUCGAGAGCACCAUUGCCUGGCUUCUCCUCAUUUGUCUGACAAUCAACAGAGUUUUAAGGAACACGUAAAACCAAAAUUCCAUGGAUUUAUUAAGAUAAGAACAAAAUUGUUUUAGACUAGACAUACGUUAGUAAACACGCACACACAAACCUAUACAAGUUUUAAUGUGUUUGUGAGUGCCAGUGAAGGUUACUGCCGUUUUUUUUUAAUUUUUUGACAAUGCAAAAAACUUUAAAAUUAAGAGGGCUAAGCUACGAUGAUUUUUGUUUUAAUUUAAAAUAUUUUUAGAAUUAAAUUAGCGCAAUUAAUUAUUAAUCUAAUUAUGUUUUUGUGUAGUGUGAAUGUUGACUGAACUGUUUUAUAUACAAUUUUAUGUACUUGUUUUUUAUAUACA